AUGAACGCUAGCUACAGGCUUAACACAUGCAAGUCGAGGGGCAGCAUUUUAGUUUGCUUGCAAACUGAAGAUGGCGACCGGCGCACGGGUGAGUAACACGUAUCCAACCUGCCGAUAACUCCGGGAUAGCCUUUCGAAAGAAAGAUUAAUACCGGAUAGCAUACGAAUAUCGCAUGAUAUUUUUAUUAAAGAAUUUCGGUUAUCGAUGGGGAUGCGUUCCAUUAGUUUGUUGGCGGGGUAACGGCCCACCAAGACUACGAUGGAUAGGGGUUCUGAGAGGAAGGUCCCCCACAUUGGAACUGAGACACGGUCCAAACUCCUACGGGAGGCAGCAGUGAGGAAUAUUGGUCAAUGGGCGCGAGCCUGAACCAGCCAAGUAGCGUGAAGGAUGAAGGCUCUAUGGGUCGUAAACUUCUUUUAUAUGGGAAUAAAGUUUUCCACGUGUGGAAUUUUGUAUGUACCAUAUGAAUAAGGAUCGGCUAACUCCGUGCCAGCAGCCGCGGUAAUACGGAGGAUCCGAGCGUUAUCCGGAUUUAUUGGGUUUAAAGGGAGCGUAGGUGGAUUGUUAAGUCAGUUGUGAAAGUUUGCGGCUCAACCGUAAAAUUGCAGUUGAAACUGGCAGUCUUGAGUACAGUAGAGGUGGGCGGAAUUCGUGGUGUAGCGGUGAAAUGCUUAGAUAUCACGAAGAACUCCGAUUGCGAAGGCAGCUCACUAGACUGUCACUGACACUGAUGCUCGAAAGUGUGGGUAUCAAACAGGAUUAGAUACCCUGGUAGUCCACACAGUAAACGAUGAAUACUCGCUGUUUGCGAUAUACAGUAAGCGGCCAAGCGAAAGCAUUAAGUAUUCCACCUGGGGAGUACGCCGGCAACGGUGAAACUCAAAGGAAUUGACGGGGGCCCGCACAAGCGGAGGAACAUGUGGUUUAAUUCGAUGAUACGCGAGGAACCUUACCCGGGCUUAAAUUGCAACAGAAUAUAUUGGAAACAGUAUAGCCGUAAGGCUGUUGUGAAGGUGCUGCAUGGUUGUCGUCAGCUCGUGUCGUGAGAUGUUGGGUUAAGUCCCGCAACGAGCGCAACCCUUAUUGCCAGUUACUACGUUAAGAGGACUCUGGCGAGACUGCCGUUGACAAAACGGAGGAAGGUGGGGAUGACGUCAAAUCAGCACGGCCCUUACGUCCGGGGCUACACACGUGUUACAAUGGGGGGUACAGAAGGCGGCUACCUGGUGACAGGAUGCUAAUCCCAAAAACCUCUCUCAGUUCGGAUCGAAGUCUGCAACCCGACUUCGUGAAGCUGGAUUCGCUAGUAAUCGCGCAUCAGCCAUGGCGCGGUGAAUACGUUCCCGGGCCUUGUACACACCGCCCGUCACACCAUGAGAGUUGGGGAUACCCGAAGCCUGUGAGCCAACAUAUCUAUGAGGCAGCAGUCGAAGGUAGAAUCAAUGAUUGGGGUG
rnacentral:rRNA from 1 species